CCUAAAUCACUGAUCCUUCUCUCACCACCGCAGCCGCAUUUAUCCGAUCCUCCAUUAAAGCGGUAAGAUUCCUCUCUUUCUCUAGAUCGCAUACUUAUUUAUAUACUCUUUUCGCUACCGCUGUCUGAAACCGCUGACCGAUCGUCGCCAAUCUCAUUCACUGCAUCAAAAGCGAAAAACGGGGGUGAAAUGAUCAUUCAUCCCCUAUUGUAAGCUAUUCUUUAUCAUUUCCACUACUAUUACUAUUAUUAUCUAUGUAUCUUAUAACAAAAACAAAGAAGAAACUGCUUGUUUGAAAUUUCUCUUAAGUUUUUACUGCCGUUCAUGUUCAAAGGAAUAUAGAACACAAAAUAAGAAGAAGAUUGAGAACUCACGGAUCUGAUCAUAAUCAUAAUGAUUAUUAUCAUGCUCAAGUAUGCAAAUAUCCAUGAUUAUAUGUUUUAGGACAUUCAUACAUUUGUAGAGUUGCAAAUCCACUGAACUUCUUUGUAUUCUUGGAACAAGAACUUGACAUUGAGAUCUUCUAAGUAGUCAUAAUAACUUAUCUCCAAGACCUUAUUUAUCUUGUUGCUAUGGAGUUGUUGAAUUUGCAACUAAAAACCAUAUCAUCAGCAAAUUUACUUGCUAUUUCAUUCUUUAAAUUAUCAAUAUCAUGUAGAUUGACUUUUCUUUUGAUCAAAUUUGAUGCUUCUUCACUUAGCAAUAUGUAAGAGUUAAUGGGUUGUUCUUAGGUUCUAGAUAUGUGAAUAAUUUGCAAAUAGCUUCUCCCCUUAAUGGGUUGUUCUUGGGUUCUAGAUAUGUGAAUAAUUUGCAAAUAGCUUAUCCCCUUCUUGACAACCCAACCACCCGGCCUCACUCUUAUUCACCCCCAAAAUUACUCAUUUAUCCCUACCACCUUUAUAUAUUUACUUUACUUUUCUUAUUUUAUUUACUUUACUUAUUUACUUUUCUAUUUAAAUUAACUUAUUUAUUAAAAUUAAAUAACUAAAGUAAAUAAAAUAAGAAAAAUAAAUAUAUAAAGGUGGUAGGGGUAAAUUGGUAAUUUUGGGGUGAGUAGGAGUGUGGCCGAGGGUGAGAAUGUAGAGUGGGGAGAAACUAUUUGCAUAUAUAAUUUUUCCAAUAUUUCUCAUCUCAAAAUCUUCAUCUUGUUGUCUUGUAUAAAUCUUACUUUGACAAUAGAAAUCAGAAACAUCUUCAUUUUAAUCGUGUAUAUUUAUAUUCAAUGUGGUAAUGCAAGACUUGUGUGUGAUAAAUUACCACUACAUUGAAGGAGGUAAAUAGGAUCAAAGAUGAAUUGUCCUUUGAUUUUCAAAGAUCUUCAAUAUGGUGCAAAUUUGUCACGCACACGUCUUGUCACACCCAAAAGAUACGUAAAUAUGCGUGAUUAUAAUGAAAAUCCUUUCAAUUUUGAUAGUCAAUUUAGAUUAUGAAAGAUAUUAUUUGAGAUCUUACAAGAUAAAAAUUUAAUGUUAAUAGGGAUAUGCCUGAUGAGAAGUAUUGGAUAGAUUAUAUAUGUUAAACAAGUCCUCUAAAAAGAUAAAAAGAAAACAUUCAUGUUAUUUUGAUUGUCUCCAAUAAUCUCAGUUUUAAGCAUAUCCAACAGGAAUUGCUCAUUUAGGCCCACAUGCUUGGAGGCUCCCAACAAGCAUGUUCUAUAGUCGUUAAUCGUGUUGUGCCAACCAAUGACCUGAUUGACUCGUACAUGCAAGUUAGGUUUGGACAUGUAAACAUGAUAAAAAAAAAUUGAACACACUUUUUUUUGUUGGAUAUCUCAUUUAGAUAUUGAUUUAGAUGAGAUAAUGGUUUGAAACAUAAUUUAAUUGACAGAUAUUAUAAUUUUGUUACCAUUUUAUCGUCCAACUAUAGAAAGGGUUUGCAGACAGCUAUUGUGGAUAUUAUCAUUAAAACAAUUACUGGAUGGAGUAAAAAUGUGUACUUGUCAUUUUUUCUCUGUCGAGCCAUAGAAAUCAUUAUUGGAGGAGGAUAGAAAAAAAUUUACUGUCAGAUGAACAGUUUCUUUGCUCGAUUUAUCUUCUAACUCUCUGUUUCAUUGUUAGGUGUGCAAAAUAAUGGGCUUUUUUUUAUAUUUGAAAAAACAUACAUAUGACAAAAGUUUGAUAUAUUUCAUCUUGGCUCGAAUCACUUUGUCACCGGGUAGUGUUUUUCCUUUCGACUUCUCUAUAAUUUAUUCAUCUGCUGUUUGCAUUGCAAUAAUAUGAUUUCAUACUUUUAUUGAAGAACUAACUAGCUGAAAAAACACUGUUCUUAUACUUUUCUUGUCAACUAUAUAUAUUCCCUUUCUUAUUUGUCUAUUUGUCUUGGUGUGAGACACUAUUUUAUUGUCAGUGGUUAUUGUCUUGUUCUCUUAUUCUUUUUCCCAGUUGUUGUAAUCCUUGCAAUUAUUGGACAAAAUUCGUAUUUUGUUACUAUAGAAAAUUGAUUUUCCAGCAAAAUCCUAAGUCUAUGUAGAGGAGGAUGUCAAUUAACAUAGUUUAGUUUUUCUCAAUUUCAUAUUAUCCUUAUUGGUCCCUAUCUUAUUUACCAUGUAUUCUUUGGAUCUUCUCUAUGAGCGAGCUUGUUUUAGUACUGGAGAAUGUGGAAUAUGGAAACAUUAGAAGAACUGAUGGAAGCAUUCUCGCUGUCGUAUUUUUUAAUAGCCGUAAAGGUUCAAACUCACGAUCUUAUGUUCAUUUGUCUUGUGCUCAACCAUUGAGCUAAACAAGCUUUCUUUUUCAAGGUAUAUUUUUCAAUCAACGAAAUUAUAUGGGCGACAGGAGAUUUGGUUUCCUUGGGAUAGAAGUGGUGAGGGCAAGAUCUAUCUCUAUAUAGGGGACACCCUUUUCCCUUUUUCAUGUUGAGGACAUUGUUUGGAGGAGACUCUACAUGAUAUUGUUGAGGGUCAAAUGAAUGCUAAUGCCCCUAUGCUUCUGUUAAGUACAUAGAUUUCAGGUUUAAUAGAACUUUCAAUUUUUUUAAUAUGAAGUUUACUGUUAUUUGGUGCUAAUAAUGCAGCCAUGAUGGCAGUGGCAGACCUGAAAGGGUUUGGGAUGUAAAAUCAUCCACUCUCCUGUAGUAGCUUUGUCAAAGUAGAAUGUAUGCACUGGUUUGUUUAGACAAUAUGUGGGGCAAGUUCAAAUAUAUAAUUGUUAACUUCGAUUCUCACUGAAAACACCAAAUUGAAGUGUUUUUAUGUGCUAAUCUCCCCGACAAUAGUCGGGUGAGUAAAAAGCUCGUAUAGAGACUAGUUACAGAAACAAAUUCCAAAAGGGAUGAAUAUCCAAAACAUAUUUUGAGUUUAACUUAGUAGGAUAGUGGGUUAGUAGCCUACUAACUUAAUUUACUAACUGACAUACUACAAUACCACAUACUAUUACUAAUUACCAUACUACCAAGACACAAGAAAUACUUGUUUUCACAAGUUUCAUCUAGUGUGUGUGAGGUGUAGUUUUGUUAGUACUAAUGUUACUUUUGUUGAUCUGUAAACAUUCUUUAUUUUCCAUUUUCAAUAAAGGAAAAUCUCGUAAACAAAAUGCAGAGAAACAAUUCAGGGGAUGUUGCGAGUCUCCAUCUGGACAACCUCGGAUUGGGCCGGUAUAAGUGAACAGUUCAGAUUGGUUUGAAUAUACAAAACCUCCCCAUUGAUUAAAGGUUUGUCUAUGAUAACAUAGCUUUCUUUCACCCUGUUUCAUCUUGUCACUUUUUUUUAUUCCUUUGAUUGUCAUAAUAGUUAAUAAAUGCGACUAGGAUAAGUAUUCUAUUUUUAA